rnacentral:rRNA from 1 species
UGGUNNUGGGCGGAAGCCUGAACCAGCCAUGCCGCGUGCAGGAAGACGGCCCUACGGGUUGUAAACUGCUUUUGUACCGGAAUAAACCUCGAUACGUGUAUCGAGCUGAAUGUACGGUAAGAAUAAGGAUCGGCUAACUCCGUGCCAGCAGCCGCGGUAAUACGGAGGAUCCAAGCGUUAUCCGGAUUUAUUGGGUUUAAAGGGUGCGUAGGUGGCCUGUUAAGUCAGGGGUGAAAGACGGUAGCUCAACUAUCGCAGUGCCCUUGAUACUGAUGGGCUUGAAUGAACUAGAGGUAGGCGGAAUGUGACAAGUAGCGGUGAAAUGCAUAGAUAUGUCACAGAACACCAAUUGCGAAGGCAGCUUACUAUGGUUUGAUUGACACUGAGGCACGAAAGCGUGGGGAUCAAACAGGAUUAGAUACCCUGGUAGUCCACGCCCUAAACGAUGAAUACUCGAUGUUGGCGAUAUACGGUCAGCGUCUAAGCGAAAGCGUUAAGUAUUCCACCUGGGGAGUACGCCCGCAAGGGUGAAACUCAAAAAAAUUGACGGA